UGCAGUCGACGCCCCGCAGGGGAGUGGCAGACGGGUGAGUAACGCGUGGGAACGUGCCCUUCGCUUCGGAAUAGUCCCGGGAAACUGGGUUUAAUACCGAAUACGCCGUAUUGGGAAAGAUUUAUCGGCGAAGGAUCGGCCCGCGUUAGAUUAGCUAGUUGGCGGUGUAAUGGACCACCAAGGCUACGAUCUAUAGCUGGUCUGAGAGGAUGAUCAGCCACACUGGGACUGAGACACGGCCCAGACUCCUACGGGAGGCAGCAGUGGGGAAUCUUGGACAAUGGGCGCAAGCCUGAUCCAGCCAUGCCGCGUGAGUGAAGAAGGCCUUAGGGUUGUAAAACUCUUUCGCCGGAGAAGAUAAUGACGGUAUCCGGAGAAGAAGCCCCGGCUAACUUCGUGCCAGCAGCCGCGGUAAUACGAAGGGGGCUAGCGUUGUUCGGAAUUACUGGGCGUAAAGCGCACGUAGGCGGGUUUGUAAGUUGGGGGUGAAAUCCCAGGGCUCAACCCUGGAACUGCCUUCAAGACUGCAAGCCUGGAGGUCAGGAGAGGCGAGUGGAAUACCGAGUGUAGAGGUGAAAUUCGUAGAUAUUCGGUGGAACACCAGUGGCGAAGGCGACUCGCUGGACUGAUACUGACGCUGAGGUGCGAAAGCGUGGGGAGCAAACAGGAUUAGAUACCCUGAUAGUCCACGCCUUAAACGAUGAGAGCUAGUUGUCAGUAAGCAUGCUUAUUGGUGACGCAGCUAACGCAUUAAGCUCUCCGCCUGGGGGAGUACGGCCGCAGGUAAACUCAAAGAAUUGACGGGGCCGC
rnacentral:rRNA from 1 species